CCAAAGAGCACCCAAUAGAACUUGCUAAAACUGGAAUAAUACACGGAAGAUUAGCUUGGUCUCUAGGCAAGGGUGGCAAGCAAAUUCACGAAAUAGCCCACCUUUUU